UACGGAGGGUGCGAGCGUUGUCCGGAAUCAUUGGGCGUAAAGCGCACGUAGGCGGUCUGUUAUGUCGGAUGUGAAAGCCCUUGGCUUAACUGAGGAAGUGCAUCCGAAACUGGCAGGCUAGAGUACUAAAGAGGGUCGCGGAAUUCCCGGUGUAGAGGUGAAAUUCGUAGAUAUCGGGAGGAACACCGGUGGCGAAGGCGGCGACCUGGGUAGAUACUGACGCUGAGGUGCGAAAGCGUGGGGAGCAAACAGG
rnacentral:rRNA from 1 species